UAGCUUAGCAGAAGGCUUACAAUCUGAAAAUUGAGAAAAGAAUAUAAGUACAGUAUAUGGCUGGAGGAACAAAAAUUACAUUCACGCUGCUAGACCAAGUGAUAAAGAGGCCAUUUUAUUAAUAUUGUGAAUUAAUGUUAGGUUUAGAGUUGCAGGUUUGAAAGGUAGAAUAUCCUUUUGCAUAAUAGAAAACUCAGUUUUAGCUAGGGUUUUCUGAGUAACAUGAAGAUUGUCAAUUUAAAUUGGGCUGAGUGAAUGUUGAUGAUUGUUUAUAAAUGUUCUUUAUUGUUACAUCUUGUUUAGCUAAUCAAGGUCUUAAUUUGUCUGAUCUGCAUAUGUGAGCCUAGAAUCAUAUUCAUAUACACAAUAAUGAAAUAGAAUUAGUCUUAAAUUCAGGUAACAGCUGAAGAAGGAAAUACAGCAGCAGCAAUAAGCUAUCCUGUGAUAUGCAAUUAAAAGGUUUACUUUGACAAGUAGCAGUCGACUGUUGCUACUAGCUCAUGAUCCACCUCAUUAAUAAAAUACUUUUGUAACUGUAUUCUGCAUGUGAGGGUGAUAAUUAAUGAAGAGAAGUUAAAUAGUUAAUAACAAAACCAGUAUGACAUAAUUCGAAAUUCAAAUAAACAACUUACCAGUG
rnacentral:misc_RNA from 1 species